rnacentral:rRNA from 1 species
CACUCCUGCGGGAGGCAGCAGUGGGGAAUAUUGCACAAUGGGCGCAAGCCUGAUGCAGCCAUGCCGCGUGUAUGAAGAAGGCCUUCGGGUUGUAAAGUACUUUCAGCGGGGAGGAAGGCGAUAAGGUUAAUAACCUUGUCGAUUGACGUUACCCGCAGAAGAAGCACCGGCUAACUCCGUGCCAGCAGCCGCGGUAAUACGGAGGGUGCAAGCGUUAAUCGGAAUUACUGGGCGUAAAGCGCACGCAGGCGGUCUGUCAAGUCGGAUGUGAAAUCCCCGGGCUCAACCUGGGAACUGCAUUCGAAACUGGCAGGCUAGAGUCUUGUAGAGGGGGGUAGAAUUCCAGGUGUAGCGGUGAAAUGCGUAGAGAUCUGGAGGAAGACCGGUGGCGAAGGCGGCCCCCUGGACAAAGACUGACGCUCAGGUGCGAAAGCGUGGGGAGCAAACAGGAUUAGAAACCCUAGUAGUCCCAUGA